rnacentral:rRNA from 1 species
AGAGUUUGAUCCUGGCUCAGAACGAACGCUGGCGGCGUGUUUAAGACAUGCAAGUCGCACGGUAUCAUUGAAGUAGUAAUAUUUUAAAUGUUCAGUGGCGCACGGGUGAGUAACAUGUGAAUUACAUGCCCUUCAGUGGGGAAUAGCCCAGGGAAACUUGGAUUAAUACCCCAUGGUAUCGCAAGAUUAAAGGUGGCCGCAAGGCUGCCGCUGAAGGAUUGGUUCGCACCCUAUCAGCUUGUUGGUGAGGUAAUGGCUCACCAAGGCUACGACGGGUACCUGGUCUGAGAGGACGAUCAGGCACACUGGAACUGAGACACGGUCCAGACACCUACGGGUGGCAGCAGUCGAGAAUAAUUCACAAUGGGGGCAACCCUGAUGGUGCAACGCCGCGUGGAGGAUGACGGUCUUCGGAUUGUAAACUCCUGUCAUCAGAGAGUAAGGUUUUGCGGUUAAUAACCGUGGGGCUUGAUAGUAUCUGAAGAGGAAGGGACGGCUAACUUCGUGCCAGCAGCCGCGGUAAUACGAAGGUCCCAAGCGUUGUUCGGAAUUACUGGGCGUAAAGAGUGCGUAGGCGGCUAGGUAAGUCAGAUGUGAAAUCCCGGGGCUCAACCCCGGAACUGCAUACGAUACUGCCUGGCUAGAGUAGUGGAGGGGCAUCUGGAAUUCUCGGUGUAGCAGUGAAAUGCGUAGAUAUCGAGAGGAACACUAGUGGCGAAGGCGAGAUGCUGGACACUUACUGACGCUGAGGCACGAAGGCCAGGGUAGCGAAAGGGAUUAGAUACCCCUGUAGUCCUGGCAGUAAACGGUGCACGCUUGGUGUGGGAGGAUUCGACCCCUUCCGUGCCGGAGCUAACGCGUUAAGCGUGCCGCCUGGGGAGUACGGCCGCAAGGCUAAAACUCAAAGAAAUUGACGGGGACCCGCACAAGCGGUGGAGUAUGUGGCUUAAUUCGAUGCAACGCGAAGAACCUUACCUGGGCUUGACAUGCAUCCCUAAAGCGGUGAAAGCCGGUCGGUCCGGCCGGAUGAUGCACAGGUGCUGCAUGGCUGUCGUCAGCUCGUGUCGUGAGAUGUUUGGUUAAGUCCAGCAACGAGCGCAACCCCUGUGAAUAGUUGCCAGCACGUAAUGGUGGGAACUCUAUUCAGACCGCCCGGGUCAACCGGGAGGAAGGUGGGGAUGACGUCAGGUCAGUAUGGCCCUUACGUCUGGGGCUGCACACGUACUACAAUGCCCAGUACAAUGAGAACCGAGACCGCGAGGUGGAGGAAAUCUAUAAAACUGGGCCCAGUUCGGAUUGGAGGCUGCAACUCGCCUCCAUGAAGUUGGAAUCGCUAGUAAUGGCACAUCAGCUACGGUGCCGUGAAUACGUUCCCGGGUCUUGUACACACCGCCCGUCACAUCAUGGAAGCCGGUCGCACCCGAAGUGCCUGCGUUAACCGCAAGGAGGUAGUGUUCUAAGGUGUAGCUGGUAACUGGGAUGAAGUCGUAACAAGGUAACC